GGCUGAUCAGUAAAGCGUUAGGCUUCCAUACCAAAUUCCCAGGUUCGAAUCCUGG
rnacentral:tRNA from 1 species